AUUGAACGCUGGCGGCAUGCUUUACACAUGCAAGACGAACGGUAACAGGCCUUCGGGUGCUGACGAGUGGCGAACGGGUGAGUAAUGCAUCGGAACGUGCCCAGAGGUGGGGGAUAACGCAGCGAAAGCUGUGCUAAUACCGCAUGUGAUCUGAGGAUGAAAGCGGGGGACCAAGCAGCAAUGUUUGGCCUCGCGCCUCUGGAGCGGCCGAUGUCAGAUUAGGUAGUUGGUGGGGUAAAGGCCUACCAAGCCGACGAUCUGUAGCUGGUCUGAGAGGACGACCAGCCACACUGGGACUGAGACACGGCCCAGACUCCUACGGGAGGCAGCAGUGGGGAAUUUUGGACAAUGGGCGCAAGCCUGAUCCAGCAAUGCCGCGUGCGGGAAGAAGGCCUUCGGGUUGUAAACCGCUUUUGUACGGAACGAAAAGGCUCUGGCUAAUACCUGGGGCUGAUGACGGUACCGUAAGAAUAAGCACCGGCUAACUACGUG
rnacentral:rRNA from 1 species